AUUCAUCUUCGGGGUAGGGUGCAAGUCCCAACCGGCAGUAAAUGUAAGCCUGCGACCCAUAGCGAAAUACACUUUUUGCUAUGGCUGAUCUAGUGAGAAUCUAGAGCCGACAGUAUAGUCUGGAUGGGAGAAGAUGGAG
rnacentral:ncRNA from 2 species